rnacentral:lncRNA from 1 species
CACAUUAUUCUCUCCUACAUAAGACUGCAUCCAAAUAGAUCACCUUCUUGUCCCUAUUAAACUUUUCGUGCAACUGUCCAUAUCAUUAAAAUCUUAUAUCUUUUCCCUACUGUGUUAAAAUUCCUACUUCAACUGUCUAUAAUCCAUCCACAUAUCCUCCUGAGCUGUAUAAUCUGUUUGAUAUCAAUACUUAUUUUUUAUCUUCAAAG